UCCCUCUUAGCUCAGUUGGUAGAGCGCGUCACUAGUACAGAGCCUGCACAUGACGCGGUCAGCCGUUCGAAUCGGCUAGCGGGAA